UAUUUCAUCUAUCACUUCAUGGUAUGUCUUUAACCGAUAAAGCUCCUUGAAGUAAUCAGAGGACAGAAUGUUCAUACAAAGAACCUUCUCUAGUAGUGAGUCAAUGGGCUUCCCGCUUGUCUGUAUCUCCAUAAUUGAUUAUCAAAUAGAUGCACUCCUAAGUUCUUAGAGGAUAAAUUCAUACAUCAAGAAAUCAUCAGAAUUAACAAAAUUCGCUCAAACAAUAAACAAAAGGAAAGAGGUUUUUCUCGAAAAACACAUAAAACCCAAACCAAAAUAAACAUCGAGUUUCAUCUUAAAAAUUGAAAUACAAAUAAGUAGGGGAAAAAAAAAUUUGAAACCUAAGCAAAUUUCAAUGAGGCAAGAAAUUGAUUUCCAUUUAUUAGCGAUGAAUGAAAACAAAGUCUCCACUAGGAAAGAAAACGGGAAAAAUCCCUAAAAUGUAACACUAUAAGGAAAACAAAAUACAUACAGAAAGAGAGAGAGGACAGAAUCCAAGAUCGAAUCAAAAGUAGAGAGCAGCCAGAAUCACGAUCUACCUAAAGCUUUGAUUGUUCGGUUCUUGUACUUUUUCGCCGAGCGGCAAUCCAAAAUCAAUUGCUCAACAGAUAACCUAGUGCGAAAAUGAGCAACGAGAAAGACGGAAUUCGCCCUUUG
rnacentral:misc_RNA from 1 species